rnacentral:rRNA from 1 species
AUUGAACGCUGGCGGCGUGCCUAAUACAUGCAAGUCGAACGGAGAGGCGCACGGGUGAGUAAUAUAUAGCUAAUAUGCCCCUUUCUGGAGGUCAAAAGUUAGAAAUGACUGCUAAUACUCCAUAGCAAGUGAUGAGACUAUAUCUUAUCAGCUAGUCGGUGGGGUAACGGCCUAACGAGGCUAUGACGCGUAACUGGUCUGAGAGGAUGAACAGUCACAUUGGAGCUGAGACACGGUCCGAGCUCCUACGAGAAGGAGCAGUAGGGAAUAGUGCGCAAUGGGGGAAACCCUGACGCAUCAACGCCGCGUGGAGGAUGACACUUUUCGGGGCGUGAGCUCCUUUUGUUAGGUAAGCGGUACCUAACGAAUAAGCACCGGCUAACUCCGUGCCAGCAGCCGCGGUAAUUC